rnacentral:rRNA from 1 species
UACGGAGGGGGCGAGCGUUGUCCGGAAUCACUGGGCGUAAAGGGCGCGUAGGCGGCUGGGGAAGUCGGCGGUGAAAGCCCGGAGCUCAACUCCGGGUCGGCCGUCGAGACUCCUCGGCUCGAGCUCACUAGAGGCAGAUGGAAUUCCGGGUGUAGCGGUGGAAUGCGUAGAGAUCCGGAAGAACACCGGUGGCGAAGGCGGUCUGCUGGGGUGAGGCUGACGCUGAUGCGCGACAGCGUGGGGAGCAAACAGG